rnacentral:lncRNA from 1 species
CUAUUAUUUGUUUAGCAAUUUACAUUUCAGUCGAGGAUUGCGCUUUUUUUGAUACACCCCGUAUAGUGAACAGACGUAGUCUCAUGUAUUUAUAUAAUAUGAGUUAUAUAUAUAUAUAUAUAUAUUCUUCUUUAUUUGUAGCGAACCAUUAGAAUUUUGAGGGAGGGCAAAAUUUUUAGGGCACGAUAUUUUUUAACGUUCGAGGAUGUACAGGAUUUUUUUCACCAUUGAUUUUCUUGCAGGAUGUUUUGGGAGAUUUUUAAUAUCCGACACGUACACGUGUUAGGAAUACUAACAAGUAUAUACAAUAACAACGAUCUACUAAGAAGCAGUUAUCAAAAUACCCUGCCCUCAGGGUUUAGGAUCCCAGAAAAGUUCCAGUUUAGGAAUGGUAUAGUUCCCAUUUUUUUAGGCUCAACGGAGUGGGAAACUAUAUAAUACGAGAUAAAAGUGUUCUGCCGCUUGUAAUAUUAAAUGGUUUUGUUAAUACAAAUGUAGAAAUGCAGAUGUAGAAAUGCAGAUGUAGAAAUUACAACAAUGCAGAAAUAAUAAUUAUUUCAAUUAAUACUUAUUUCACUUUAUUUUUAUUUAUCUGGG